CAUGUAGGCGGCAUGACAAGUCUGGUGUGAAAUAUCUCGGCUCAACCGAGAAAACGCACUGGAAACUGUCAAGCUUGAGUAUCGGAGGGGAAGCUAGAAUUCCUGGUGUAGGGGUGAAAUCUGUAGAUAUCAGGAAGAAUACCGGUGGCGAAGGCGAGCUUCUGGCCAGAUACUGACGCUGAGAUGCGAAAACGUGGGGAGCGAACAGGAUUAGAUACCCUGGUAGUCC
rnacentral:rRNA from 1 species